UACGUAGGGUGCAAGCGUUGUCCGGAAUUAUUGGGCGUAAAGAGCUCGUAGGCGGUUUGUCGCGUCUGCCGUGAAAGUCCGGGGGCUCAACUCCGGAUCUGCGGUGGGUACGGGCAGGCUAGAGGUAGGUAGGGGAGAAUGGAAUUCCCGGUGUAGCGGUGAAAUGCGCAGAUAUCGGGAGGAACACCGGUGGCGAAGGCGGUUCUCUGGGCCUUACCUGACGCUGAGGAGCGAAAGCGUGGGGAGCGAACAGG
rnacentral:rRNA from 1 species